AACAGUCUAAUUUAACCUUUCCAAGUCCUCGUAAAUUUUUACAGCUGGAAGCCCCGGCGAGGCAAGCGAAUCUGUUGGUCGUUCCCGACUUCCCAACCAGCCUGUGUGGCUUCUGAAACAAUAACUCCUUAUGAAAUAUCAUAAAUAUAGAUUUAAAUACAGUAGAGCGAGAAUGCGAUUUGGCUGCUUUUUUAUGGCUUCAAUUAUUGUCUAAUUUUAUGUGAGGGGUUCCUCUGGCCGCAGUCGCAUGCGGGACCCGCGCCUUCCUGAUGGCGUGAUUAAUUGUGAUAUAAAAUAGUCCGCUUAAGAAGUGUGUGUGUGUUGGGGGGGGCAGGGGAGAGUACAGAGGCAAGGCCAGAUUUGAUCUUUUAAUCUUCGUUGGCCACAAUUAAAACAAACCCGAUCGUGGAGCGGCGUGAUCCCUUUGCAUAAAAACAUAUGGCUUUUGCUAUAAAAAUUAUGACUGCAAAACACCGAGCCAUUAAUAGCGUGCGGAGUGAUUUACGCGUUAUUGUUCUGCCGGGCGGACACGUGAUGCGCGCGGCCAAUGGGGGCGCGGGCGCCGGCAACUUAUUAGGUGACUGUACUUCCCCCCUGGUGCCACCAAGUUGUUACAUGAAAUCUGCAGUUUCAUAAUUUCCGCGGGUCGGGCCGGGCCGGCCAGGCGCGGGACACAGCAAUGGCCACCACCGGGACCCUGGGCAACUACUAUGUGGACUCCUUCCUGUUGGGUACUGAGGCGGCCGACGAGCUGAGUGCUGGCCGCUACGCGCCAGGGGCCCUGGGCCAGCCCCCACGGCAGGCGGCGGCACUGGCGGAGCACCCCGACUUCAGCCCGUGCAGCUUCCAGUCCAAGGCUGCGGUUUUCGGCGCCUCGUGGAACCCGGUGCACGCGGCGGGCGCCAACGCCGUGCCCGCUGCAGUGUAUCACCACCACCAUCACCACCACCCCUACGUGCACACCCAGGCGCCCGUGGCAGCGGCGGCGCCGGACGGCAGGUACAUGCGCUCCUGGCUGGAGCCCACGCCCGGUGCGCUCUCCUUCGCGGGCUUGCCCUCCAGUCGGCCUUAUGGCAUUAAACCUGAACCGCUGUCGGCCAGAAGGGGUGACUGUCCCACGCUUGACACUCACACUUUGUCCCUGACUGACUAUACUUGUGGUUCUCCUCCAGUUGAUAGAGAAAAACAAUCCAGCGAAGGCGCCUUCUCGGAAAACAAUGCUGAGAAUGAGAGCAGCGGAGACAAGCCCCCCAUCGAUCCCAGUAAGUGUCUUCUUCUCCAAACCAGCCGCCGCCUCCACGCCGGCCACCGGGAUCUGCUGGCCCGCCAGCUUUCUCUGGAGCCAGCCUUCGUCCUCGCUGGGAGCCUCCUGAGCUGGGGCCAGCAACCAGAAGUUGGUGUUUGGGACACCUCAGAUGGGGCCCCAAGUCCACAGAACUGUGACGAGCAAGCCUGCAGGGCUGGGGAAAGGGGAGGAGGCUGCUGCAGCGAGAGGGGGCGGGGCGGGCGCUACAGGCCGAGCCAAGACCCGCCGCCCCUCUCCUAGGCUGCCCAGGCCCAGGACAGAGCUACUUUGGGCCGUUCUUCGAAAGCAGCGCAGCGGAGAGAGUCUUUUGUGCGGCUAGAUUGUUCUCGAGCGGCGGCAGCAGAGGCAGCCGGGCAACCUGACCCGGGACUCGGUGAAACGGUCGAUUCCAUCCACUUCUUGCCUUCAGCCUGUGGCGGCAUAACCCGGCCGCCAACUGGCUUCACGCACGCUCCACGCGGAAGAAGCGCUGCCCCUAUACCAAACACCAGACGCUGGAACUGGAGAAAGAGUUUCUGUUCAACAUGUACCUCACCAGGGACCGCAGGUACGAGGUGGC